UAUACAUUAUAUAUAUAUAUUUCUAUUAAUCAUUUUCGGCCUUUCGGCAUUCGGUUUUCGGCCAACUGUUUCCUAUUUUCAGUAUCGGUUUCGGCCAAGAAUUUCCCAUUCGGUGCACCCCUACUCAGAAUCAUUAAGAACACAGCAGUGGCCAAAAGUGUUUCCAAUCCCGGUCUUCUCCUAUGACACAGAAUGUCAAUUACAGAGAGGAAAUGCAGAGUACACAAAGAACCAAUCUAGACUGACACCAAGCUCAAAUCAUCUGCAGAGCUUGCUGUGAACUCGUUGAAGACCAAGUCUCAAGAAGAGUCCUACCCUGCGAAGAAUUUUAAAGAGAGCCAGGCGAGCUGAUGCCAACCAUUUUCCAUCCUUGCCGAUUGGUGAGACUCCAGAAAGCAUGGAGCAAGAGACAAUUUCCCUUUUGGCAGAACAACAGAAAAGAAACAACCGGCAAUCAAUAAAAGAAAAGAUGGCGAAGGCGUUUGGAUACUGAAGACAAGAAAUAGUGCAUCGGAGGCCAAGCAUUGAAGGCCUCUUGGAGCGGUGGCCUGCACUUUUUCACAUGGAAGAGGUAAAUGCUGAGUUAAUGCGCAUAACAACAAUUCCAUUGGAGACAAAGUUCUUGGCGCAGUUGGACAAACACUCAGGUCAUCAGGAGCAGGGGAGGAGUUGUGAAACAGAAGACCACCGGGAUCUUGCAGGUUUUGGAUGAGACUGUGGACAUCGCCAUCAGAAGAGAAUGCGUCCUCAAAUCUCUAAUGAUCUACCUGGGUGAACCUGUUGACCAUCUCAUCAAAGAAUUCCAGGACGCUGAGGCUGGAGAACUGGAGCAGGCAACAAUGGAAGCCUUUGACACUGGGAAAGAGGAUCAGCUUCAUCGACCCAAAGACGUCAAGGUUCUCAUCGAAGGAACAGAGGUCCUCAGCGGCUUGCCCUCGGUUGCGACAGCUUUUGCCAUGCUCUUCGGGCUCAUAUACGCACUGAAAUGGGGCGAAGCCUGCGAGCUAGUUCAGGCAGUCAACUCGAGCACUUAUGCUGCAUUCAUACAUAACGCCCCCUUGCCACUCUACAACCAACCAAACAGAGUCUCCUUAAUAUGCCGCUCUAUUUAACCUGCCAGAUCUCUCUCCAUGCAUUGCUUGCUGCUGCUAUUGCUGCAGAUACCUCUACGUCGCUGCUGCUCGCUGCCCCACCACCACCCCAGCUUCCACCUGUAGGCUCGGGGGUUAGUUAUUUGAUCAUCACUCAUCGUGCUAUGUAUAUCUAUGGAGUGAUGAUGCCCGAGCCUAGUCGCCAAACUCAACUAUAUGCUGCUUCUAAUAAACAUGUUAAAGGAACACGUGAGUUGUCUGACUGAACUUAAGAUAUCAGAAAUAACUGCAAUCCACUUUUGAAGUUGUGCAAAAAGUCCUGAUGGAGGGGAAAAAGAUGAGCCCAAAAGUGAAUAGACUGAGAACCCAGCUGGUAGACACUUUGUUGCACUCACUCACAGUUACCAUUGUUACAUGGUAAGGUUUCUAAAACCAAGGUUUUAUAAUAAUUAUGCAUUGUAAAACAUUUGCGAAA